GAUGCGNNCUUAACACAUGCAAGUCGAACGGCAGCGCGGGAGCUUGCUCCUGGCGGCGAGUGGCGGACGGGUGAGUAACACGUAGGAAUCUGCCUAGUAGUGGGGGAUAACUUGGGGAAACUCAAGCUAAUACCGCACACGCUCUACGGAGGAAAGCGGGGGAUCUUCGGACCUCGCGCUAUUAGAUGAGCCUGCGUCCGAUUAGCUAGUUGGUGGGGUAAAGGCCCACCAAGGCGACGAUCGGUAGCUGGUCUGAGAGGACGAUCAGCCACACUGGAACUGAGACACGGUCCAGACUCCUACGGGAGGCAGCAGUGGGGAAUAUUGGACAAUGGGCGCAAGCCUGAUCCAGCAAUGCCGCGUGUGUGAAGAAGGCCUGCGGGUUGUAAAGCACUUUAAGCAGGGAAGAAUGGGCUAAAGCUAAUAUCUUUGGUCAGUGACGUUACCUGCAGAAUAAGCACCGGCUAACUCCGUGCCAGCAGCCGCGGUAAUACGGAGGGUGCGAGCGUUAAUCGGAAUUACUGGGCGUAAAGCGCGCGUAGGCGGUUGGCUAAGUUUGCUGUGAAAGCCCCGGGCUUAACCUGGGAACUGCAGUGAAUACUGGUCGGCUAGAGUAUGGUAGAGGGUAGUGGAAUUUCCGGUGUAGCAGUGAAAUGCGUAUAGAUCGGAAGGAACACCAGUGGCGAAGGCGGCUAUCUGGACCAAUACUGACGCUGAGGUGCGAAAGCGUGGGGAGCAAACAGGAUUAGAUACCCUGGUAGUCCACGCCCUAAACGAUGAGAACUAGCCGUUGGGUCCGGUUACGGAUUUAGUGGCGCAGCUAACGCGUUAAGUUCUCCGCCUGGGGAGUACGGCCGCAAGGUUAAAACUCAAAUGAAUUGACGGGGGCCCGCACAAGCGGUGGAGCAUGUGGUUUAAUUCGAUGCAACGCGAAGAACCUUACCUGGUCUUGACAUCCUGCGAACUUUCUAGAGAUAGAUUGGUGCCUUCGGGAACNCAAANACAGGUGCUGCAUGGCUGUCNUCANCUCNUGUCNUGANAUGUUGG
rnacentral:rRNA from 1 species